UACGGAGGGUGCGAGCGUUAAUCGGAAUUACUGGGCGUAAAGAGUGCGUAGGUGGUUGAAUAAGUUAUCUGUGAAAUCCCUGGGCUUAACCUGGGCAGGUCAGAUAAUACUGUUUGACUCGAGUAUGGGAGAGGGUAGUGGAAUUCCCGGUGUAGCGGUGAAAUGCGUAGAGAUCGGAAGGAACACCAGUGGCGAAGGCGGCUACCUGGCCUAAUACUGACACUGAGGCACGAAAGCGUGGGGAGCAAACAGG
rnacentral:rRNA from 1 species